UCUAUUUAUGCGCCUGCGCACUGGUGGAACGCCGUCCAUUUCUCCAAGGACGUCGUUGUUGAGCUGUCAAGGAGAAAAACUACCAUGGCUUCCAGUUCUUUGACAAAACCUCAGAUGCGUGGCCUUCUGGCCAAGCGUCUGCGAUUUCAUAUUGUUGGAGCAUUCGUUGUCUCCUUGGGAGUUGCAGCUUUCUAUAAGUUUGCUGUGGCUGAACCAAGAAAGAAGGCAUAUGCAGAUUUCUACAGAAAUUAUGAUUCCAUGAAAGAUUUUGAGGAGAUGAGGAAGGCUGGUAUCUUUCAGAGUGCAAAAUGAUUUUGGAAUAUAAAGGCAGACUGUUCCUGAAGGAGCAUUCCAACUGCCAUAUAAUUUCUUUGGGUUGAGUUCCAUGGAAGUUUGUCACUUACCUGUGUUCCUGAACUAUGAACUACUAAUAUCUGGGCUAAGGAAUAGUUUCUCAUGAUAAAUAAACGAUUAACAAAUACUGUGGACACUAAAUUUUUGUUCAGUUACUCUUGCUGAUACAUAUAGUUCAGGGUACUUGCAUUAGAAUUGGUCAUAUCAUUGGAAUUAAAUUAGAACUUAACUUAUUGAAAUCAAGUUAUCAUCGUAAGAUUCAUAAUUUUUUAAAAUUUUCAUUGUUUUAGGACAUUUUUGAUUCCUCUCACAUUUUGUCCAUUUCACUGAGGUAACUGCCUGGGCCAUGGGUUUAAGGGGUCUGCAUGAGCCUACAUGACUACUAUACUGUGGGCUCUUAAAAGGAACAGAGACUUGCCUUUCCAAUAAAACGUCUUUGGACUUCAUUGUCACUGGAUUGCCCUACCGGAUCCAACCACUGGACAGAUGUAAUAGUAGGUAAUUAAAAUUUAAGGUUCUUUACUCAGUAUUACUUUAUUGAAGACCUAACUGUACAAUAUGGAAUAUACAUCUAGUCUAGAAAAAGUUGUGUUAUUUAAUUGGAAUUGCGAUUGAGUAAUGUCUGCUAAUUUAGAGUGUGGUAAUAACAUUUUUUCAGGGAGGUCUUAGGACCUUUCUCCCCUUUAAUAAUUGUGGUUUUGUUGUGAUAAAAGUGAUACUACAGAGAGCUUUAAGAAUUAAGUGUAUUUUAGCCACAGCUAAUUUAAUCACCAGUUCUUUUAUUAUGUUAACAAAAAUUUUCUUUUUAACUCGUGCAAAAUUCCUGAGUUCCAAUGAUGUAAACUGUAAUAAACCCAAGUAUGAGUGAAAA